GCCAGCGACCAUACUACGUGGAAAGCACCGGUUCUCGUCCGAUCACCGAAGUUAAGCUACGUCGGGCCGGGUUAGUACUUG
rnacentral:rRNA from 1 species